AUUGAACGCUAGCGGGAUGCCUUACACAUGCAAGUCGAACGGAGUGUCGAACGGGGGAGUAAUGUAUCGGAACGUGCCCAGUAGCGGGGGAUAACUACGCGAAAGCGUAGCUAAUACCGCAUACUAUUGGAGCGGCCGAGGGCGGAUUAGCUAGUUGGUGGGGUAACGGCUCACCAAGGCGACGAUCCGUAGCGGGUUUGAGAGGACGACCAGCCACCCUGGGACUGAGACACGGCCCAGACUCCUACGGGAGGCAGCAGUGGGGAAUUUUGGACAAUGGGGGAAACCCUGAUCCAGCCACCCCGCGUGUGCGAUGAAGGUCUUCGGGUUGUAAAGCACUUUUGGCAGGAAAGCGGUACCUACACAAUAAGCACCGGCUAACUACGUGCCAGCAGCCGCGGUAAUAC
rnacentral:rRNA from 1 species